UGCCCGUGUUGUACUGACAGAAACGUUACGGGCUUAGCAGGCAUGGAGGCCCGAUUAAUGAGAGAGGCCCAUUCCGACACGUCCAAGCUCGACUAACACUGUCCCGGAGAAGGAUUCCGGCGACAUUUUGGGAUACGACGGAUAACAACCACUGUAAAGAAAAAGAAGGAGUGGGAGAAGAAAUACAGGGAGAGAUCCAUUUCGGGUCUCUGUUGAUUCAACGCAGCCGCCAUUUUGUUGACACACUUGCAACAAAAAUACCGUGGCGACCAUGAUGAUACACACGAAGGGAGGAUUUUGAUCCAAAUGAUGUGAGCUCCGUUUUUGGGCCGCUAUUAAGAUUGAAGGUGAGAGGGCUGGACAGCCGGAAGGGACAACUGCACCGCUGCCAGAAGAGGAUUGCUUUUUCAGAUCUCUCUCUCUCUACCCCCCCUCCCCUUCCCCCUCCCCCCCCCCCCCCCCCUCCCUCCUCCUACCGGACCUCUGCCUCCCUCCCCAGGACCACUCAGAGAACUCUUAACCUGACGGCCGCACCCCCAUAUUUCCCCCACGUAACGCCUUUCCCCACCCCCCCCACCCCCUUCC
ensembl:lncRNA